UUGUGAUAUAGAGGCUGCAGUUUGCAAAGAGUACUUCAGAUUAAACUUUUGGGGAAAUUAUUUCUCUGUAGGAAAGGUGCGACUGCCGAAACACAUUUCUAACCCCAUAGUUAUGUGUUGGGACUAUGCUGAACAAGUAUAGUACUGUCCCCAAUAGAUUGCCCAGUCUAUUGAUGGUGUGCUAUUUCACAC
rnacentral:ncRNA from 2 species